AGAGUUUGAUCCUGGCUCAAGACGAACUCUGGCGGCGUGCCUAAUACAUGCAAGUCGAACGCUUCUUUUUCCACCGGAGCUUGCUCCAUCGGAAAAAGAGGAGUGGCGAACGGGUGAGUAACACGUGGGUAACCUGCCCAUCAGAAGGGGGAUAACACUUGGAAACAGGUGCUAAUACCGUAUAACAAUCGAAACCGCAUGGUUUUGAUUUGAAAGGCGCUUUCGGGUGUCGCUGAUGGAUGGACCCGCGGUGCAUUAGCUAGUUGGUGAGGUAACGGCUCACCAAGGCGACGAUGCAUAGCCGACCUGAGAGGGUGAUCGGCCACAUUGGGACUGAGACACGGCCCAAACUCCUACGGGAGGCAGCAGUAGGGAAUCUUCGGCAAUGGACGAAAGUCUGACCGAGCAACGCCGCGUGAGUGAAGAAGGUUUUCGGAUCGUAAAACUCUGUUGUUAGAGAAGAACAAGGAUGAGAGUAACUGUUCAUCCCUUGACGGUAUCUAACCAGAAAGCCACGGCUAACUACGUGCCAGCAGCCGCGGUAAUACGUAGGUGGCAAGCGUUGUCCGGAUUUAUUGGGCGUAAAGCGAGCGCAGGCGGUUUCUUAAGUCUGAUGUGAAAGCCCCCGGCUCAACCGGGGAGGGUCAUUGGAAACUGGGAGACUUGAGUGCAGAAGAGGAGAGUGGAAUUCCAUGUGUAGCGGUGAAAUGCGUAGAUAUAUGGAGGAACACCAGUGGCGAAGGCGGCUCUCUGGUCUGUAACUGACGCUGAGGCUCGAAAGCGUGGGGAGCAAACAGGAUUAGAUACCCUGGUAGUCCACGCCGUAAACGAUGAGUGCUAAGUGUUGGAGGGUUUCCG
rnacentral:rRNA from 1 species